rnacentral:rRNA from 1 species
AUUGAACGCUGGCGGCAGGCCUAACACAUGCAAGUCGAACGAGUGGCGGACGGGUGAGUAAUGUCUGGGAAACUGCCUGAUGGAGGGGGAUAACUACUGGAAACGGUAGCUAAUACCGCAUACCAUCAGAUGUGCCCAGAUGGGAUUGGCUUGUUGGUGGUGUAACGGCUCACCAAGGCGACGAUCCCUAGCUGGUCUGAUAGGAUGACCAUCCACACGGUAACUGAGAAGCGGUCCAGACUCUUACGGAAGGCAGCAGUGGGGAAUAUUGCACAAUGGGCGCAAGCCUGAUGCAGCCACGCCGCGUGUAUGAAGAAAGCCUUCGGGUUGUAAAGUACUUUCAGCGGGGAGGCGUUACCCGCAGAAGAAGCACCGGCUAACUCCGUGCCAGCAGCCGCCGUAAUAC